CGCCCACCGGGGUUCUUCCUCACAGCUUCUGGUUCCCGGCGCUUAGGCCGGCGCUAAUGGCGGCCGGUGUCGCGUUGCGCCCUUCUACCUAAGGCGUUUUCAGUGGACAGAGAUGGGAUGGAUACACACACAUUUGUUUGAAAUCACGCGUUUCUUCGCAACCUCCAAUUCCAGCCCAACCUUCUUUGCCCAAGUUGCUCUGUGGUCAGGCCACCUCACUGUUGGGAUCCCACGGCCUCUCCAAGGAAGGAUCCAAGAGGGACCCAGGAUCCACAUUUGAAAAUAUCGUUUGUACCCAGACUGGGACCAAUUCCACAGGAGGAGUCAUUCCACUCUCAGAGGUGUAAAACAUUGCCCAAAGGUAUUCUUCUGCAACACCAAAACAGUGCUUGGAGCCAAGCCUCAAGGCUGGCUCUUCAACAGUGCAACACCAUCACAUGCAUCGCAACAGCCUGGAGGGCUGACAACUGCUGGAUAAAAUUUUUAAACCCAGAGUCCUGAGCUACACUUUCCUUUCACUCCAGUUUGUUCUUCAUUUUUUUACUACAGUGGAACUAAGCUGUUUAUGAAUGGCCUCUUCUAUGAAUGAUUUCAUUGUUCUUUUUAUUCGAUUCCUCAGUCCGAUCAAGGCUAUAGAAAGAGGAUAGGGCCCAACUCUUGACAGAGAAGAGCUGGAAUGCUACCUUCUUAAUCCCAUGCUUGAGGGACACUCCAACAGGAUACCUUGGUGAGCUGAAAAUGUGUUUAUUCAGAGGGAACAAACAGAAAACAAAAAAUAAUAUGGCAGAUAAACUCUAGUAUAUUAUUAAAUGUAAAUGAUCUAAAUACUCCAGCUGAAACACAGAAGUUGGUGGAAUGGAUAAAAUGCAAAAAUGCAUGACCCAGCUAUAUACUGUCUACAAGGAAACCACUUCAAAUAUAACUAUAUACGUACAUUAAAAUUUAUUUCUUCCUGUUGAGAGAUGGCAAGCUCAGGCCUGAGAAACGUCAAGCAUACCAUGGAACAAUGUUUGAUUCCUGUGCUGGAGAAUCCAGUUGGGGACAGGGGUAUUGCUUUGGUGGUGGCUUCAAGAGAGUGUCCUGCAUUGAAAUCAGGCUGCAUUCCCUGUGUUCUGUCCCGUAGGACUGACUGCCUAGAACAAAAAGAGGCUGGAGGGGGACCCAGAGGCUGAGGGGCUGAGGAAGGAGGUGCACAGGACUCUUCAGAAGAGCACCACAUCCUCCUGGUCAAAAAAUGACAAGGACGGAGCCCAUUUACUUCUUCCCCAGACCCGACCCUGGCAGGGAGAGAAACUGGUGGCAGCAAUGAGGAAUGAAGUGAGCAAGGAUAAAGCAGAAAGGAAAACAUGUAAGUCCUCCUUCCCACUGUAGGGGGAAGAUAUACCCUGGUUCAGGUUCUGAGUUUUGAUUAUUAGAGGAGAUUGGACAUUCUGAUUUCUGCAUUGAGACCAUAUUAUAUUUGCCACUUAUAUUGACUGUAGUCAAAGCAAGCAUAAGACUAUCUAUUUUGUAAGCAUGAGCAGAGGUAUCAUGGGCCAAUUGGAAUUUUCAACUAGUGCAGGAAAAGAGAAACUCCACUUAAUAAAAAUGAUGACAUAUUUAUGGAUAUUGAUAAUACUAAAGAAUUAUGAUUAACUUUUAAAAGAGUGACAGUAGUACUGUAGUUAUGUUUUCAAACAGAGUUCUUAUUAUGUAGAGGUAGAUCCUGAAGUAUUUAUAGAUGAGAUGAGAUGAAGUCUGUAUUUGCUUCUGAAUAAAUGGGUGAGGGCAUAGAUGAACAAUUUUUGCCAUAACUUGAUGAUUGUUGAAGCUGGGUGAUGGGAACAUGGAGAUUAAUCAUACUAUUCUAUUUUUAUAUAUGUUGAAAAUUUCUGUUU